rnacentral:pre_miRNA from 1 species
GUGGACAUCUUACUAGACAGUGCUGGAUUUUUGGAUCUACUCUAACACUGUCUGGUAACGAUGUUUAA